GUAGGGAAUAUUGGGCAAUGGAGGCAACUCUGACCCAGCCAUGCCGCGUGGAGGAUGAAGGCGCUCAGCGUCGUAAACUCCUUUUAUCUACGAAGAACCGUAUCCUUGCGAGGGUACUUGACGGUAGUAGAGGAAUAAGCACCGGCUAACUCCGUGCCAGCAGCCGCGGUAAUACGGAGGGUGCAAGCGUUGUCCGGAUUUAUUGGGUUUAAAGGGUGCGUAGGUGGCGUCUUAAGUCUGGUUUGAAAGCAGGUGGCUCAACCAUCUGAUGUGGCUGGAAACUGGGGCGCUUGAAUGGGUUGGCGGUAGCCGGAACGGGUCAUGUAGCGGUGAAAUGCAUAGAUAUGACCCAGAACACCGAUUGCGAAGGCAGGCUACUACGACUUGAUUGACACUGAGGCACGAGAGCAUGGGUAGCGAACAGGAUUGGAUACCCUGGUAGUCCAUGCCGUAAACGAUGAUUACUGGCUGUGUGUGUUCUAACAUGCGUGGCUGAGCGAAAGCGUUAAGUAAUCCACCUGGGGAGUACGCUGGCAACAG
rnacentral:rRNA from 1 species